UGGGGAAUAUUGCGCAAUGGCCGAAAGGCUGACGCAGCGACGCCGCGUGGGGGAUGAAGCAUUUCGGUGUGUAAACCCCUGUUGCCCGGGACGAACAAGCAGAUUUUUCUGCUCUGACGGUACCGGGUGAGGAAGCACCGGCUAACUCCGUGCCAGCAGCCGCGGUAAUACGGAGGGUGCGAGCGUUGUCCGGAAUCACUGGGCGUAAAGGGCGCGUAGGCGGUCUGCUAAGCGUGCGGUGAAAGCCCGGGGCUCAGCCCCGGGUCUGCCGUGCGAACUGGUGGACUAGAGCACUGUAGAGGCAGGUGGAAUUCCGGGUGUAGCGGUGGAAUGCGUAGAGAUCCGGAAGAACACCGGUGGCGAAGGCGGCCUGCUGGGCAGUAGCUGACGCUGAGGCGCGACAGCGUGGGGAGCAAACA
rnacentral:rRNA from 1 species